rnacentral:rRNA from 1 species
UACGUAGGGUGCAGGCGUUAAUCGGAAUUACUGGGCGUAAAGCGUGCGCAGGCGGUUUCUUAAGUCAGAUGUGAAAGCCCCGGGCUUAACCUGGGAACUGCGUUUGAAACUGGGAGACUUGAGUGUGGCAGAGGGGGGUGGAAUUCCACGUGUAGCAGUGAAAUGCGUAGAGAUCCGGAGGAACACCAGUGGCGAAGGCGACACGCUGGGCCGUACCUGACGCUAAAGCGCGACAGCAUGGGGAGCAAACGGG